rnacentral:rRNA from 1 species
GGAGUUCUGAGUAAGGGCGUAUGGUGGAUGCCUUGACUGAAGAAGGCGAUGAAGGACGCGGCUUAGCUGCGAUAAGCUCCGGUAAGAUGCCAAGCAAUCGUUAUACCCGGAGAUUUCCGAAUGGGGCAACCCUAUCAAGUAAUCCUUGAUAACUCUCAACUUAAUCGUUUGAGAGAGCAGACCUCGGGAAGU